rnacentral:lncRNA from 1 species
GCUUCACCGCCGUCGAUUCGAAACUCGUCGUCGUCGGCGGCGGAUUUAACGAUUCGGUGCAAGGGUGGAUUGCGUCGAAUUCGACGGCAGCGAUGAGUAUUUCUCUUGUCUCACGCCUCCGAUGAAUAUUUGAUUGCGCACUGUGCCUCCUACUUCCAAGCUCCAAUCCCAGGUUCGCAUCUCCGGCUAUCCCAUCCUUUUCGUUUAUUAAUGUAUAUGAUUUUCCGUUUUAGCUUUUAGUUUCUUAAAUUUAGUUUAGCGAGUUAGAGAUGGGUAGAUGGAUUAUCGAGGCCAGCGACAUAACAAAAAAUAGUUGUGGCACACAUUAUAAAACUUAGUAGCACAUACUAUAUAACUCUAGCAACGUGUUGAAUCAUCUUUAACCGGUUCAAAACAGUUGAUUAAUUAUCUUGAUCUCCACGGCUUGGUCCUCUUCAUUGUCCGUAUUUAAAUGACCCUCUAAAUCCUCAUGUGAUAA